rnacentral:rRNA from 1 species
UACGUAGGUGGCAAGCGUUGUCCGGAAUUAUUGGGCGUAAAGCGCGCGCAGGUGGUUCUUUAAGUCUGAUGUGAAAGCCCACGGCUCAACCGUGGAGGGUCAUUGGAAACUGGGGAACUUGAGUGCAGAAGAGGAAAGUGGAAUUCCAAGUGUAGCGGUGAAAUGCGUAGAGAUUUGGAGGAACACCAGUGGCGAAGGCGGCAUCCUGGACCAUUACUGACGCUGAGGCGCGAAAGUUAGGGGAGCAAACGGG